rnacentral:tRNA from 1 species
GAACUUAGGUUAACACAAACCCGGGGCCUUCAAAGCCCAAAAAAAGCAUCACCCGCUUAGUCCCUGG